UCUCCGUAGGUGAACCUGCGGAGGGAUCAUUACAGAGCAUCAUGCCCUUCGGGGUAGAUCUCCCACCCUAUGUAUUACAUACCUUUUGUUGCUUUGGCAGGCCGCUUCGGCCACCGGCUUCGGCUGGUGCGUGCCUGCCAGAGGACCCCAAACUCUGAAUGUUAGUGUCGUCUGAGUAAAAACAUAAUAUUUAAAACUUUCAACAACGGAUCUCUUGGCUCUGGCAUCGAUGAAGAACGCAGC
rnacentral:misc_RNA from 1 species